AGAAGGGACGGCUAACUACGUGCCAGCAGCCGCGGUAAUACGUAGGUCCCGAGCGUUAUCCGGAAUUAUUGGGCGUAAAGGGCACGUAGGCGGACAAAUAAGUUUGAUGUCAAAUAUGAUGGCUCAACCAUCAAGAGGCGUUGAAAACUGUUUAUCUAGAAUCUCGGAGAGGUAAGUGGAAAUUCCAUGUGUAGCGGUGGAAUGCGUAGAUAUAUGGAGGAACACCAAUGGCGAAGGCAGCUUACUGGACGAAGAUUGACGCUGAGGUGCGAAAGCGUGGGUAGCAAACAGGAUUAGAUACCCUGGUAG
rnacentral:rRNA from 1 species